CUAUAAUCACUUCUACAAAAAUUAAAAUCUUCAGGACAAGCAGCUUGAAUUUUCAACGAAGUAAACAAAAUUUUGCACAGUACUAGAGUUUUUAAAGUAAAGAAAUUGGUGAUUUGAUUUGUAACAAUAAUUUGCAAAUUUAACUUUGGAACCAGCUUUUUUUUCCAGAUGAGGCAGGACCAGAAGUAGCCAGAACAUUCAGAGAAGAGAGCAUAGCACAGCACCUGUUCUGGACAGAAGGACAGACAUCCGAGGGACAUGGGCAUCUCAUCUCAGCUUGGCCACCAUCCAUAUGAUGGAGCAAUGUAGCCAAGCUGUGGGGUGACCAAGGCUUGCAUCACUGCCCUGACCCAGAUUGCAUCUGCAGUCAUCUGGAACUGACUACACGCCUGAGCUGAUAAAAGAGGCUGUGGAAAUUCAGAUCUCUGGGGCCUUGCAAG
rnacentral:lncRNA from 1 species